GAUGAACGCUAGCGGCAGGCUUAAUACAUGCAAGUCGAGGGGCAGCGGGGUAGCAAUACCUGCCGGCGACCGGCAAACGGGUGCGGAACACGUACACAACCUUCCUUUUGGUGGGGGAUAGCCCAGAGAAAUUUGGAUUAAUACCCCGUAGUAUUGUUGGGUGGCAUCACCUGAUAAUUAAAGAUUUAUUGCCAGAAGAUGGGUGUGCGUCUGAUUAGGUAGUUGGUAGAGGUAACGGCCACCAAGCCUACGAUCAGUAACUAGGUGUGAGAGCACGACCAGUCACACGGGCACUGAGAC
rnacentral:rRNA from 1 species